UUUUUAUAUUUUUAGUAGAGAUGUGGUUUCACCGUAUUGGCCAGGCUGGUCUCAAACUCCUGACCUCGUGAUCUGCCCGCCUCAGCCUCCCAAAGUGCUGGGAUUACAGUCUUCAGAUGCUGAUGGUCUUAGAAGCCUUAGUUCCAUGUUACCUACAAAAGCUAAAGAGGCAGACAUCACAGGUGGAGACAGUACCUGCUGCCCGAGAGGAGAUUGCGGCCACUGCUGCUCUUGCGACGUCCCUACAGGCCCUUUUAUACAGUGUAGAGGUCCUCACCAGAUACCUCCUAAACUCAGCCCUUUAUGCCUUAUAACUGUGAACAGUUCGCCCAUGACAGCCCCACAGAUGAGCAGGUGUGACCAAGGUCAUAAGGGAACCACCACAGCCAAUCACACCAUGUCGUCUGGGGUGAACACCAGGUACCAGGAACAAGGAGCCAAACUGCACUUUAUCAGGGAAAACCUUCAUUUACUGGAGGAAGGGCAAGGCAUUCCCAGAGAGGAACUGGAUGAACGAAUUGCUCGG
rnacentral:sRNA from 1 species